CACCUCAUUAGUUCCUUGACCUGCAGGUGGACUGAGAAGAGAGCCAUGGUAGCAGGCAAGAGUGUGGUUAUCGUUGGACCAGGAUUCAGGAUCUGACUGAGUAGCUGACUCUUAAUCCAGUUUGUGUUGAUCACCAGGAGGAUCUGGACCUCAGUAUUACCACAUCUAGAGCUAUAAUCACAUCCCUGUUAAGCCUUCCUGAGAUCACACCAAAUGUCCUUGAUGGGAAUUGUAAACAACCCUUACUUCUGGUUUCUAAUGAUAUUCCAGGAAAGGAGCCUAACUAGAGUCAGUGAUAUGCCAACUCCACCUUUGCCUUCCACCAUGUUUGGAAGCUCCCUGAGGCCUCACCAGGAGCAGAUGCUCGUCCCAUGCUUCCUAUAAGCCUGCAGAACUAGACAAAGUUUUCCUGUGUUACCCAGGCUGGAGUGCAGUAGUGUGAUCAUAUCUUACUGCAAUCUUGAGCCUCAUG
rnacentral:lncRNA from 10 species